rnacentral:rRNA from 1 species
UACGUAGGGGGCAAGCGUUGUCCGGAGUUACUGGGCGUAAAGGGCACGCAGGCGGUCGCGUAAGAGUGCGGGGACAGUGGGCGGCUUAACUGCCCAAGGGUCGCACAGACUGCGCGACUAGAGGGCCAGAGAGGGACCUGGAAUUCCGGGUGGAGCGGUGAAAUGCGUAGAGAUCCGGAGGAACACCAAUGGCGAAGCAGGGUCCUGGCUGGAACCUGACGCUCAGGUGCGAAAGCCAGGGGAGCGAACGGG